rnacentral:rRNA from 1 species
CUACAGGCUUAACACAUGCAAGUCGAGGGGCAGCAUGGUCUUAGCUUGCUAAGGCCGAUGGCGACCGGCGCACGGGUGAGUAACACGUAUCCAACCUGCCGUCUACUCUUGGACAGCCUUCUGAAAGGAAGAUUAAUACAAGAUGGCAUCAUGAGUCCGCAUGUUCACAUGAUUAAAGGUAUUCCGGUAGACGAUGGGGAUGCGUUCCAUUAGAUAGUAGGCGGGGUAACGGCCCACCUAGUCUUCGAUGGAUAGGGGUUCUGAGAGGAAGGUCCCCCACAUUGGAACUGAGACACGGUCCAAACUCCUACGGGAGGCAGCAGUGAGGAAUAUUGGUCAAUGGGCGAGAGCCUGAACCAGCCAAGUAGCGUGAAGGAUGACUGCCCUAUGGGUUGUAAACUUCUUUUAUAAAGGAAUAAAGUCGGGUAUGGAUACCCGUUUGCAUGUACUUUAUGAAUAAGGAUCGGCUAACUCCGUGCCAGCAGCCGCGGUAAUACGGAGGAUCCGAGCGUUAUCCGGAUUUAUUGGGUUUAAAGGGAGCGUAGAUGGAUGUUUAAGUCAGUUGUGAAAGUUUGCGGCUCAACCGUAAAAUUGCAGUUGAUACUGGAUAUCUUGAGUGCAGUUGAGGCAGGCGGAAUUCGUGGUGUAGCGGUGAAAUGCUUAGAUAUCACGAAGAACUCCGAUUGCGAAGGCAGCCUGCUAAGCUGCAACUGACAUUGAGGCUCGAAAGUGUGGGUAUCAAACAGGAUUAGAUACCCUGGUAGUCCACACGGUAAACGAUGAAUACUCGCUGUUUGCGAUAUACUGCAAGCGGCCAAGCGAAAGCGUUAAGUAUUCCACCUGGGGAGUACGCCGGCAACGGUGAAACUCAAAGGAAUUGACGGGGGCCCGCACAAGCGGAGGAACAUGUGGUUUAAUUCGAUGAUACGCGAGGAACCUUACCCGGGCUUAAAUUGCAGAUGAAUUACGGUGAAAGCCGUAAGCCGCAAGGCAUCUGUGAAAGUGCUGCAUGGUUGUCGUCAGCUCGUGCCGUGAGGUGUCGGCUUAAGUGCCAUAACGAGCGCAACCCUUGUUGUCAGUUACUAACAGGUUCCGCUGAGGACUCUGACAAGACUGCCAUCGUAAGAUGUGAGGAAGGUGGGGAUGACGUCAAAUCAGCACGGCCCUUACGUCCGGGGCUACACACGUGUUACAAUGGGGGGUACAGAGGGCCGCUACCACGCGAGUGGAUGCCAAUCCCCAAAACCUCUCUCAGUUCGGACUGGAGUCUGCAACCCGACUCCACGAAGCUGGAUUCGCUAGUAAUCGCGCAUCAGCCACGGCGCGGUGAAUACGUUCCCGGGCCUUGUACACACCGCCCGUCAAGCCAUGGGAGCCGGGGGUACCUGAAGUGCGUAACCGCGAGGAGCGCCCUAGGGUAAAACUGGUGACUGGG